ACGGGAGGCAGCAGUGGGGGAUAUUGCACAAUGGGGGAAACCCUGAUGCAGCGACGCCGCGUGAGUGAAGAAGUAUUUCGGUAUGUAAAGCUCUAUCAGCAGGGAAGAUAAUGACGGUACCUGACUAAGAAGCCCCGGCUAACUACGUGCCAGCAGCCGCGGUAAUACGGAAGAUGCGAGCGUUAUCCGGAUUUAUUGGGUUUAAAGGGAGCGUAGGCGGGCUGUUGAGUCAGCGGUUAAAUGUCAGUGCCCAACAUUGGCAUGCCGUUGAUACUGGCGGCCUUGAAUGCACACAAGGAAGGUGGAAUUCGUCGUGUAGCGGUGAAAUGCUUAGAUAUGACGAAGAACUCCGAUUGCGAAGGCAGCCUUCUGGGGUGCCAUUGACGCUGAGGCUCGAAAGUGCGGGAAUCAAACAGGAUUAGAUACCCUGGUA
rnacentral:rRNA from 1 species